GGCACAGUGGCAGAGUGGUCUAAUGCGAUAGACUAGAAUGGGCUCAACGAGCUCCUUCCAGCACAUCUAUUCUCUUCGGAGGCUUAGGUUCGAAUCCUAAUUGUGUCG